GAUGAACGCUGGCGAGAUGCUUUACACAUGCAAGUCGUACGAGAGUUUUUAACUCAAGUGGCGGACGGGUGAGUAACACGUAAGAAUUUGCCUUUAGGAGGGGGAUAACAACUGGAAACGGUUGCUAAUACCCCAUAUGCUUUCGAGUGAAAUGGAUUUUUCCGCCUAGAGAGAAGCUUGCGGCUGAUUAGCUUGUUGGUGAGGUAAUGGCUCACCAAGGCGACGAUCAGUAUCUGGUUUGAGAGGAUGAUCAGACACACUGGAACUGAGACACGGUCCAGACUCCUACGGGAGGCAGCAGUGGGGAAUUUUCCGCAAUGGGCGAAAGCCUGACGGAGCCAGACCGCGUGAGGGAUGACGGCCUAUGGGUUGUAAACCUCUUUUUUCAGGGAGGAACAAAAUGACGUGUACCUGAAGAAUAAGCAUCGGCUAACUCCGUGCCAGCAGCCGCGGUAAGACGGAGGAUGCAAGUGUUAUCCGGAAUCACUGGGCGUAAAGCGUCUGUAGGUGGUUUGAUAAGUCAACUGUUAAAUCUUGAAGCUCAACUUCAAAAUCGCAGUCGAAACUAUUAGACUAGAGUAUAGUAGGGGUAAAGGGAAUUUCCAGU
rnacentral:rRNA from 1 species